CAGGCUCACUGUUAGGAACCGAGAGGCGCUACAGUUCUGAAGUUGGCAAUUAUAUCUGAGCACUAAGGUGCCACCAUCAUGUUUCUGUGAAACAUCCUGGGAGGGAAGCCAAGGUCCACGACCACAAAGAACAUUUGAGGAUCUUCAGCAUAACGAGAGUCGUGUCCAUCAAAUGAAGCUUUCAAGUUGAAUGCUGAAUAAAAUACCCUAAACACAGCACAGAGCAAGCCCAGACUGAACAUCUUGAAACUGGUAAGCUGAGAGAGAAAGCAUGCAUAUUCCACGUGAAUGGUUUCGGCAGUGU